rnacentral:rRNA from 1 species
CCUACGGGUGGCAGCAGUGAGGAAUAUUGGUCAAUGGACGCGAGCCUGAACCAGCCAAGUAGCGUGAAGGAUGACUGCCCUAUGGGUUGUAAACUUCUUUUAUAUGGGAAUAAAAUGUUCCACGUGUGGGAUUUUGUAUGUACCAUAUGAAUAAGGAUCGGCUAACUCCGUGCCAGCAGCCGCGGUAAUACGGAGGAUCCGAGCGUUAUCCGGAUUUAUUGGGUUUAAAGGGAGCGUAGGUGGAUUGUUAAGUCAGUUGUGAAAGUUUGCGGCUCAACCGUAAAAUUGCAGUUGAAACUGGCAGUCUUGAGUACAGUAGAGGUAGGCGGAAUUCGUGGUGUAGCGGUGAAAUGCUUAGAUAUCACGAAGAACUCCGAUUGCGAAGGCAGCUCACUGGACUGCAACUGACACUGAGGCUCGAAAGUGUGGGUAUCAAACAGGAUUAGAUACCCUGGUAGUC